ensembl:lncRNA NIFK-AS1 NIFK antisense RNA 1
UGGCCUGGCCGUGUUAGGCUUCGCUGGCGUAAAGUCCCCGGGAGCUUUGCCCCUCACGGAGAACGUUAGUUGACCCUGAUGGGGACCCGUAGGGUAAAGGUUUUGUUUUUGUUUUUUUUUACGGAAAAGGUUGUGGUUAGGCCCCUUGGAAAGUUGCGACAAAACUCGAGUUAGACAAGGAAGGUCGGAACUAAGUGGCCACAGCAACAAUGCACCAGCAAGCAGGGAGCGUGAUAGGAAGAGCUAAAGAGGAAUCGGGAAACCCUGGGUAAAAGUCGUCCAAGUGGAACUUCCUUUGGUCGGGGGUCUGAUACUCGAAGGAAACGGUCUUUCACUUCUGGGUUAGGGCGUCCGCCCAGAGGGCGACUGCAAUGAAGGAAAUUGUGCCCUGCGACUUCCCGUAACAGAGCUGUGUGUCCACGCUCCCUUUUCCGAGCAGGCGCGGACGCUUGUGCCGGAAGUAAACUUGUUAACGGUUCUUUGCCUUUUGGGGAGGGGAGACAGCCCAGAGAAGGCUUUGGAGACCCUUGAGUCGGCCAGCGAGCAGGGUUUCUUACUUGAGCGCCUCCACAAAUAAACGCUCCUUCGCUCCUCCGUCGCGUGCGUUUCCCUGGGAUAAUAAGUGGGAAAGUGGUGGCUUUUAUUUUUUUGAGACAGGGUCUCACCGCCGUCGCCCAGGCCGGAUGGAGUGCAGUGGCGCGAUCACGGCUCACUGCAGCCUCGACUUCCCAGGCUCAGAGAUGGGUUUCACCAUGUUUCCCAGCCUUGUCUCAAACUCCUGACCUCAAGUGAUCCGCCGUCUUGGGUCUUCGAAAGUGCUGGGACAGCAGGAGUGAGCCACCGCAUCUGGCCCGGAAAGUGUUUUGGAGCGUAGAAAAAUGCAAAUUAUAGGGCUGCCUUCAAGGAUCCCGAAGGACCCACAGAUUUGCCGCAUCAGGCUCCUAUGCACGCCGGUAAUUUGAUGUGUUGAGAUGCACUGCCCAGUGCGUUGUUUUUACUGGAGGAGCUUGUGUGCGGAGCUCCUUGCUAGUGUAUGUGUUGGGAUGGGAGAGAAGUGCGGGAGAACUAUGAGAUAAUGCCCCCUGAUCCUCAGGGUCUUAGGAGGUAUGGUCGGAGAGGCUAAGCUAAAGUAUGAAAGCCGUGUGUAGGCCCUUCUGUGUAGUGCAGAAAAGGUAGAGGUAUGUGAUUUGAAAGAGUAGGGAUGACAUGGAGGAUGCGACUCCUGGUUGGAUCUAUAAACUAAUGUCUUUGGAACGAAAGCACAUGCAACCUUUUGAAAAUGGAUGGGUGAUAAUGAAAGACCAUUCCAGAGAAGAAACACCAUGGUGCAAAGGCUCAAGAGGCAUACUGGAAGUACAAUGAAGAGAGCAAUCUAACUGAAAUGGGAAAAAAAGAAACAAAGAGUAAAAAGUAAGAUUUGAUGAGAAAGAUGGAAUCGAUUUUUAAAUUUUUUUAUCUACACAACAAAAUUUAUUAUCUUAACCAUUUUUGAGUGAAUAAUUCGUUAGUAUUAAGUAUAUUUACCUCGUGCGGCCAGUCUCCAGAAUUCUUUUCAUCUUGCAAAACAAACCCCGAACCCAUUAAACAAUUUCUCAUUCGCCAUUUUCCAGCUAGCCUUGGUAACCUCCAUUCUAGUUCUGUCUCUGUGAAUUUGACUGUGUACCCCGUGUAAGUGGUAUCAUACAGUAUUUGUAUUUUUGUGACUGGCAUAUUUCACAUAGCAUAAUCUCCUUGUGGUUUAUCCAUCUUGUAGCAUGUGUCAGAAUUUCCUUCCCUUUUAAGACUAAAUAAUAUUCCAUUGUGUGUAUAUACCACUUGUGUUAUUUCCACCUUUUGGUUAUUGUGAAUAAUACUGCUUCAAACA